rnacentral:rRNA from 1 species
UACGGAGGGUGCGAGCGUUGUUCGGAAUUACUGGGCGUAAAGGGCGCGUAGGCGGCGCACCAAGUCAGGCGUGAAAGCCCUGGGCUCAACCCGGGAAUUGCGCUUGAGACUGGUGUGCUUGAGUACGGGAGAGGAUAGUGGAAUUCCCAGUGUAGAGGUGAAAUUCGUAGAUAUUGGGAAGAACACCGGUGGCGAAGGCGGCUAUCUGGACCGUAACUGGACGCUCAUGCACGGACAGCGUGGGGAUCAAACAGG